UUCCCUGGAGAAAAGAGAUAGAUUUGUGACUUGUUCCAGAAGUUACCUUCCUUCAAUAACCUACAGCAGCUGGAGAAGGCAGAGUAGGGUGAACCUCAGAGGCAUUCCUGGGGACGAGAUUCACUGACAGGCAUUCUUGUCCUGAGAAAGCUGCUCACUUUCUCCCUUAGAAAAGACAGAAGUCUUUCAGGCAGAUAGGUACCAGCUCUCUAAACAGCAUUUGUUAUAUUAAUAGGAUACUGUUAAAAGAGGCCAUCCAGCUCCAGGAAGAAUAAUCAGGCAGGCAAUAACUUCAGCACUCAGGAGAACAUGAGAAAGGAGAUUUUUAUAAUAUCCUACCUCAUAACCUUGAGUUUUUGCAACAGAUAUUCCAGAGUUCAGAUCUUUGGCAUUACUAAAACCUAAGUAUUAGCAGAGAUCAAAUAUGUAGCUCAAGGGUAAGACCAGUCUGAGCAAAUGCUAGAACUGUGCCUCACUUGCACUAAGUUUAGUUUGUAAGAGUUCAUCUAUAAUCAGCAGAGAGAUCAGCAUGACCAGAGGGCGAUUUCUACCAGUCUAAAACAAGAUAAUCAGAGUACUAAUCAGAAGGCUAAUUUAGACAAGGAGCCUAUUUUUAGAUGGCUGUAAUUAGACAAAACAUCCCACUGUAAGAGUAAGUAUCUUUUGAUAACACAGUCUUUUCUGGGCAGCUAUUUAAAGUUACAUCUCAGUUCAGUUCUUCCUCUGAACAUCAUGUCUGUGCUGAAAAAGUAAUAGUUUAAGAGUAACUAUGCUGAAAGCUUAAACACAUUUCCUUCUUGCCUUUUGUUGCCUUAAUAUUUUACCUAAUGGAGCCCAGCAAAGUGUCUGGGAGCACUGACUCCCCUUUUCCUUUUUUCCCCUUUGCAACAAGUGCAUGGCAUUCUCAUGUUGCCACAAUUGUAUGUGCCCAGCAAAUAGAUUGAGACUCUUGAGUCAGGUACAUGCAAAUCAGAAACCCUGAUGACUGGAAUAUAAUUGCUUUUAUUGUAAUCACUAUGCAUUAAGCAGUCAAAUGCCUUUCAGUCUGUAAUCUCAAAAAUCACUCUGUGGCACAAUGAACUGUUAUGUAAAAGUAGCAGUGAGUGAGGUUUUGAUAACUAUUGUAAAUCAAAGGCAACUCCAAUGAAGGGGAGAGAGAAUGAUGCAUCUGACUCAUCAUCAGAAGGCUAAUUAAUUACUUUAUUAUACUAUACUGUAUACAUUUCAUCUAAACUGAAUCUGUCAUGCACUCACUCCUGCUCACAACUGCACAGAACUGCACUCAUCUCUGAUUCUCUCGUGUCUGUCCCGUGACAGUCUCACACACACACCUUCUUGGCCCCGAUAGGCCAAGGGAACAAAACAUCCUCACUGUGGGUAAACAAUCUCCAUAUUGCAUUCUACUUUGGCACAAUACAGCCAUGGUGAGAGAGAAAAGAAUUGUGUUUUCCUUCUUCUCUGCUUGUCUCACAGCUUCUCUCUUUUCAGAGGGCAUGUGAAUACCACAGAUAACUCUUUUAAUUGCAUCUUACUUUCCUAGUAAGAAAAAGUAAAGGCAGCAUUGAAGGAAACCCACCUGAAAUUCUGCAUGAAUUGCCGAAAUUUGCUGGCUCUCUUGGCCAACGGCACAAUGACAUUAAUAAGUGUGUCAGCCAUAUUGACAUUUUCAUUUUUCACUUUCAUUACAGGACCAAAUGGCCGGAAUAAAACAAUCUUCUUGAA